rnacentral:rRNA from 2 species
UAAACUGAAGAGUUUGAUCAUGGCUCAGAUUGAACGCUGGCGGCAGGCCUAACACAUGCAAGUCGAGCGCGAAAGCACUUCGGUGUGAGUAGAGCGGCGGACGGGUGAGUAACGCGUAGGAAUCUACCCAGUAGUGGGGGACAACAUGGUGAAAACCAUGCUAAUACCGCAUACGCCCUACGGGGGAAAGCGGGGGACCUUCGGGCCUCGCGCUACUGGAUGAGCCUGCGUUGGAUUAGCUUGUUGGUGAGGUAAAGGCUCACCAAGGCGACGAUCCAUAGCUGGUCUGAGAGGAUGAUCAGCCACACUGGGACUGAGACACGGCCCAGACUCCUACGGGAGGCAGCAGUGGGGAAUAUUGCGCAA